AUUGAACGCUGGCGGCAGGCCUAACACAUGCAAGUCGAACGAGUGGCGGACGGGUGAGUAAUGUCUGGGAAACUGCCUGAUGGAGGGGGAUAACUACUGGAAACGGUAGCUAAUACCGCAUACCAUCAGAUGUGCCCAGAUGGGAUUAGCUAGUUGGUGGGGUAACGGCUCACCAAGGCGACGAUCCCUAGCUGGUCUGAGAGGAUGACCGGCCACCCUGGAGCUGAGACGCGGUCCAGACGCCUCCGGUAGGCAGCAGUGGGCAAUAUUGCACAAUGGGCGCAAGCCUGCUGCAGCCGUGCCGCGUGUAUGAAGAAGGCCUUCGGGUUGUAAAGUACUUUCAGCGGGUGGGCGUUACCCGCAGAAGAAGCACCGGCUAACUCCGUGCCAGCAGCCGCGGUAAUAC
rnacentral:rRNA from 1 species